AUUGAACGCUGGCGGCAGGCCUAACACAUGCAAGUCGAGCGGAUGAAGGGAGCUUGCUCCUGGAUUCAGCGGCGGACGGGUGAGUAAUGCCUAUGAAUCUGCCUGGUAGUGGGGGAUAACGUCCGGAAACGGGCGCUAAUACCGCAUACGUCCUGAGGGAGAAAGUGGGGGAUCUUCGGACCUCACGCUAUCAUAUGAGCCUAGGUCGGAUUAGCUAGUUGGUGGGGUAAAGGCCUACCAAGGCGACGAUCCGUAACUGGUCUGAGAGGAUGAUCAGUCACACUGGAACUGAGACACGGUCCAGACUCCUACGGGAGGCAGCAGUGGGGAAUAUUGGGCAAUGGGCGAAAGCCUGAUCCAGCCAUGCCGCGUGUGUGAAGAAGGUCUUCGGAUUGUAAAGCACUUUAAGUUGGGAGGAAGGGCAGUAAGUUAAUACCUUGCUGUUUUGACGUUACCGACAGAAUAAGCACCGGCUAACUUCGUG
rnacentral:rRNA from 1 species